UACUCCUACGGGAGGCAGCAGUAGGGAAUUUUCAGCAAUGGGGGAAACCCUGACCGAGCAACGCCGCGUGAAUGACGAAGUACUUCGGUAUGUAAAGUUCUUUUAUUGGGGAAGAAUGGUACGUGGAAAAACGUACGUGACGGUACCUAAUGAAUAAGCCCCGGCUAACUAUGUGCCAGCAGCCGCGGUAAU
rnacentral:rRNA from 1 species